CCAAUUUCCCUUUUUCCCCAAAUUCUUUUUCUCUUUUUCCCACAAAUCCCAAUUUCCCCUUUUCCCUAAAUUCAUUUUUUCUCCUUUUUCCUCAAAUCAUUUUUUUCUCUUUUGCUCCCAAAUCCCAAUUUCCCUUUUUCCCCAAAAUCCUUUUUUCCCUUUUCCCUCCAAAUCCCAAUUUCCCUUUUCCUCUUUUUCCCCAAAUUCUUUUUUUCUCUUUUCUCCCCAAAUCCCAAUUUCACUUUUUCCCCAAAAUCUUUUUUUCUCUUUUUCCCCAAAAUCUUUUUUUCCCUUUUCCCCCCAAAUCCCCAUUUCUCUUUUUCCCCAAAAUCUUUUUUUCCCUUUUCCCCCCCUAAAUUCCCAUUUCCUUCCCCCCCCCCCCCCCCCCUGCAGUACACCUGAAGCGCCACUUCAUGUUCCGCAACCACCUGUGCCUCGCCUUCGAGCUGCUCUCCUACAACCUCUACGACCUCCUCCGCAACACCAACUUCCGUGGCGUCUCCCUCAACCUCACCCGCAAGUUCGCGCAGCAGCUGUGCGCCGCGCUGCUCUUCCUCGCCACCCCGGAGCUCAGCAUCAUCCACUGCGACCUCAAACCCGAGAACAUCCUCCUCUGCAACCCCAAGCGCAGCGCCAUCAAGAUCGUCGACUUCGGCAGCUCCUGCCAGCUGGGGCAGCGGGUGAGCCCUCCAGGCCACGCCCCCUUUUCCCUCCAGGCCACGCCCCCUUGCUCCUGACCACGCCCCCCCUUCCAGGCCUCACCCCUUUCAGACUAAUUCCCUCCAGGCCACGCCCACUCAUCCAGACCACGCCCCCUUCCCUUCAGACCCCUCCCCAUUUCCUCAAGGCCACGCCCCCUUUCCCUCUAGGCCACGCCCCCUUCCCUUCAGACCCCUCCCCUUUUCUUCCAGGCCAUGCCCACUUUCAUCUAGGCCCCGCCCCCUUCCCUUGAGACCCCACUUUCCCUCUAGGCCACGCCCACUUCCCUUCAGACCCCUCCCCUUUUCCUUCAGGCCACGCCCCCUUUCCACCAGGGCCAUGCCCCCUUUCCCUUCAGGGGCCUCUUUCCCUCCAGGCCACGCCCGCUUUUCCUCUAGGCCACGCCCCCUUCCCUUCAGACCUCUCCCAUUUCCAUUCAGGCCACGCCCCCUUCCUUCAGGCCACGCCCCCUUCAGUCAUCUUUCCCUGCAGGCCACGCCCACUUUCACACAGGCCACGCCCCCUUUCCUUCAGGCCACGCCUCUUUCAGACCCCCGCUUCCCUCGAGGCCACGCCCACUCUCAUCUGGGCCACACCCCCUUCCUUUCAGACCCCAAUUUCCUCCAGGCCACGCCCACUUUUACCCAAGCCACGCCCACUUUCAUCUAGGCCACGCCCCCUUCCCUUCAGAUGUCACUUUUCCUCUAGGCCUCGCCCCCUUUCACAGAGCCACGCCCACUCGCUUGGCUCCGCCUCCCGAUUUUUUGGGGAGCCCCUAUGGAAGGUCCUGGAGAGCUAGGCCACGCCCCCCUCUCUCUUAAACCACGCCCCCUUUUCCUAUUAAGACCCGCCCCGUUUUCUGCUAAGCCACGCCCACAGAUCCAUACGGCCACGCCCACUCCUUGUGCUCUGCCCAUGGAAGGUCCUGGAAGGGUAAACCAUGCCCCUCGCUCUGCUAAGCCAUGCCCUUACUCUAAGCCACGCCCCCCAAGUGCUAAGCCACGCCCCCCUGUGACCUUAAGCCCCGCCUUCUUCCACAAGCCACACCCACAUUAUGGCUUAGCCCUGCCCCUUUUCUUUGACCCCACCCCUUGUAUAACUAAGCUCCUCCCACACAGCAGUGCUGCUCUAAGCCCCACCCCCUUCUUGGCUUAAGCCACGCCCCUUUGGGGAGUGACCACGCCCCCUUUUAAAGACACAGGGCCCCUCCCUGUUCUCUCAGUCCCCGGACAAUGCCC
rnacentral:lncRNA from 1 species